rnacentral:rRNA from 1 species
AAUAAGCCUACCCUCAUGGUUAAGUUGGACAUCCAGCAGGCUUUUGACAUGGUGUCCUGGGAGUUUCUUAUCAAGUUGCUCGAGGCCCGAGGUGUGGCCCGAAGGCUGAUAGACAUGCUGGCAGCUCUGCUUCGCUCCUCCACCACCAAUAUCCUUGUCAAUGGGGAGCUAUCGAACAACAUCAGCCAUAGAAGGGGCCUUCAACAGGGGGACCCCCUAUCACCCCUCCUGUUUGUCAUCGUCAUGGACUGCUUGGCGUUGAUGUUCGACUGGGCUGUGCAGCUAGGGAUACUUGGCCCCAUUGGACACAAAAAUCUGCCCUUCAGAACAUCGCUUUAUUCGGACGAUGCUGUGUUUUUCAUCAAUCCGAGAGCGUGUGAAAUACAGGCUAUCAGGAGCAUGCUGCUGCUGUUCGGGGAGGCUACAGGGCUCAAGUGCAAUUUUUCCAAGUCAUCAGUCACGCCCAUAUACUGUGAGGGGGUGGAUGUUGGGUCGAUCCUUCAAGGCCUGGAAUGUCCGGUCAAGCCUUUCCCAUGUCAAUAUUUAGGCAUGCCCAUCUCAGACUCAAAACUGAAAAAAGGGGAACUACAACCGGUGUGA